rnacentral:rRNA from 1 species
GAUCAUGGCUCAGAUUGAACGCUGGCGGCAGGCUUAACACAUGCAAGUCGAACGGUAACAGGGAUUAGCUUGCUAAUUUGCUGACGAGUGGCGGACGGGUGAGUAAUGCUUGGGAAUCUGGCUUAUGGGAGGGGGAUAACUACGGGAAACUGUAGCUAAUACCGCGUAAUAUCGGAAGAUUAAAGGGUGGGACUUUCGGGCCACCUGCCAUAAGAUGAGCCCAAGUGGGAUUAGGUAGUUGGUUAGGUAAAGG